AGCUAUCAUUUAUGCUGUUAACUCUGUUGCAACCUGUGUUAGAGAAACUUUUUGAAAUUCAGCGUGUGACGACCGUCCCUAUAGGGUGACGUCUGUCUCACAGAUGUGACGACCGUCACGAAUUCCAGAGAGCUCGCUUAUAAAUGCAGGCGCUCUUUCUCCCUUCUUCCUCACCAAUUAUCACUCUCUUGCAUUCUGCUCUUCAUCUAUUUAAU
rnacentral:lncRNA from 1 species